ensembl:lncRNA
CGAACAGAGCGACGCUAAAUAACAUCUGACACAUAAAAACACUACGUACAAAGUUUCAUGGCAAAUCAUUUUACACAACAAACCAUGAAACCUCAGUCUGUCUUUGUGUGGCCUGUGAGGAGGGGGGGCAUUCCUAUGUCCAUGGAACAGCCCAUCAGACAGCUGGGCAGGGACCAGCUGACCAGUUGCCAUGCCAACACCCUUCUUUGCUUUCAGGGCCAGAACAAUGAUGUGGACCGACUCAGUUAAUCCACUUCUCCUCCGACAGAGCGGGAGCUCAGGUCUGUGCUCGCUGGCCUGAAGAUCACCUCACGUUUCAUUCCUACACGUCACACGUUUCAUAAUCCAUAAUCCAUCACCGGGGUUCGUGUUAGCAACAAUCCUAAUGGAUCGUUGUGUUGACACGGAGUUUCAUCAUGUACGUGUGAAGAAGCUUUUCCCACAGUGAAGGAAACACUGCGGCCUCACACUCCUCUUCCUCACACUUCUCUUCCUCCUCACUCUCCUCUUCCUCACUCUCCUCUUCCUCCUCACUCUCCUCUUCCUCCUUCCUCACUCUCCUCUUCCUCCUCACUCUCCUCUUCCUCCUCUUCCUCAGUCUCCUCUUCCUCCUCACUCUCCUCUUCCUCACUCUCCUCUUCCUCCUCACUCUCCGCUUCCUCCUCACACUCCUCUUCCUCACUCUCCUCUUCCUCCUCUUCCUCAGUCUCCUCUUCCUCCUCUUCCUCACUCUCCGCUUCCUCCUCACACUCCUCUUCCUCACUCUCCUCUUCCUCCUCACUCUCCUCUUCCUCCUCUUCCUCACUCUCCGCUUCCUCCUCACACUCCUCUUCCUCCUCAGUCUCCUCUUCCUCCUCUUCCUCACUCUCCUCUUCCUCCUCACUCUCCUCUUCCUCCUCUUCCUCACUCUCCGCUUCCUCCUCACACUCCUCUUCCUCCUCAUUCUCCUCUUCCUCACACUCCUCUUCUUCCUCCUCUUCCUCCUCACACUCCUCUUCCUCCUCACUCCUCCUCUUUCUCCUCUUCCUCACACUCCUCUUCCUCCUCACUCUCCUCUUCCUCCUCUUCCUCACACUCCUCUUCCUCCUCACACUCCUCUUCCUCCUCACUCUCCUCUUCCUCCUCUUCCUCACUCUCCUCUUCCUCCUCACUCUCCUCUUCCUCCUCUUCCUCACUCUCCGCUUCCUCCUCAUUCUCCUCUUCCUCACACUCCUCUUCUUCCUCCUCUUCCUCCUCACUCCUCUUCCUCCUCACUCCUCCUCUUUCUCCUCUUCCUCACACUCCUCUUCCUCCUCACUCUCCUCUUCCUCCUCCUUCCUCACUCCUCCUUCCUCCUCACCUCCUCUUCCUCCUCACUCUCCUCUUCCUCCUCUUCCUCACACUCCUCUUCCUCCUCACACUCCUCUUCCUCCUCACUGUCCUCUUCCUCCUCUUCCUCACUCUCCUCUUCCUCACUCUCCUCUUCGUCACUGUCCUCUUCCUCCUCUUCCUCCUCACUCUCCUCUUCCUCACUCUCCUCUUCGUCACUGUCCUCUUCCUCCUCUUCCUCCUCACUCUCCUCUUCCUCACACUCCUCUUCCUCCUCACUCCUCCUCUUCCU